rnacentral:misc_RNA from 1 species
GAUGAAGAACGUAGCGAAAUGCGAUAAGUAAUGUGAAUUGCAGAAUUCAGUGAAUCAUCGAAUCUUUGAACGCACAUUGCGCCCGCUAGUAUUCUGGCGGGCAUGCCUGUCCGAGCGUCAUUUCAACCCUCAAGCCCCCGGGCUUGGUGUUGGGGAUCGGCGAGCCUCCGCGCCCGCCGUCCCCUAAAUCUAGUGGCGGUCUCGCUGUAGCUUCCUCUGCGUAGUAGCACACCUCGCACUGGGAAACAGCGCGGCCACGCCGUUAAACCCCCGACUUCUGAACGUUUGACCUCGGAUCAGGUAGGAAUACCCGCUGAACUUAAGCAUAUCAAUAAGCGGAGGA